GGAGCGCGCGCAGGAGCGUGAGGGCGGCGGGAGCCGCGCCGGUAAUAACGGGGACACGGCGGGGCCGGGCAGGUUUUCCAGGAGAAAAAAAGAAAGAAAAACUCAGGAAACCCCUGGAGCGCUGCCCUGUCACCAUGGGCUCCACAGUGUGGGAAUGUGGGUGAAAACUCAAGAUUUAAUUCACACCAGAGGACUGAGAAGGGGCAAAAAAAGAGGAA